UAUAAUAUUAACUUAAAUUAAAUAAUUAUCUUAUUUUUAUCGGGGUGUUACAGAAGACAACUAGAACAUCAUGUAUUAACACAAAUUUUCAUGAUCAUGACAAAACACACAAACCCUAAUCUCCCAUUCAUGGAUUUUUCCCACCGAGCUAUGUCUAACUAGGAACCCAUCUUUUAUCAAGAAGAUGAUGAGAUUGAGUUGAGAUCCUUGUUGAUGCAAGCUUUCUUCUUUUUCUUCUUUCAAGUUUUUCUCUUUUCCUCAUCUCUUAUUUCUCUCUUU
rnacentral:lncRNA from 1 species